ACUUGCAAAAGGGGUCGACUGCAGCUGACCAGAAAACCCUUGACCUACUGGGACAGCCUGUCUUUUUUUCUUUUCUCUACAAAUGCCAGAUGAACAAAUCUUUGGAAAACCUCUUUGAAAACAGUGAAGUCAUUUUCUUUGCAAUUUUGUUUGGUUACACUCAUGGUGCGGAAAUGACAUCUUUCCCCUUGAAGAUCCCAGGUCACUUCCUCAUAAAUGGUUGGCAUUUUCUCAUACCUUGGCUUUUGUGGUCUUUCCUUCAAAUCACUGCAGCUCAUUUUUCAUUUGUGGCACCAGGUCAAUGGCCAAGACAUGCAGGAGGUCAGCCACCAUGAGGCUGUCAGCAUCCUGAGGAAUGCUGGGAGCUGCAUAAAAAUGAAAGUGCUACGGGAGAGAAGCAUGCCAGUGGAGCCUUGGCUGCAUGAGAGGAAUGACACCAUGGAAACAGCAGACCCCCAGGUCAGCCAAGAGUGGGAUGUUGCCAUGAGCAAUAACAGAUCAAGUGGCCCACAGUCCUCCACUGAUCCCAUGCUGGACUGCAGCCCAAUGACCAACAGGAUGGAAGCUACUGUCUGCAAUGGAAAUGGACUGGAUGAUCCAAUACAGGACUUACGGCUGACAAAAGACAUGGAGACCUUCAAAAACAAUGCCCUACAGGUUGUGAAAAAUACUAUGACGAUACCUCGGAUUAUUCUGACUCACCCCUCUACCUCAGAUGAGGACGUGGAGCCCCUGACGCAGGGCCCAGAUGACGGAGAUUUUGAUUCUGACUUCAGCGACUCGGACAGUCACAUCUACUCGGACUGCUUGAACAGCGCUUUCUAUCCUCUGUGAAAGAUAGAGAAGUACACAGACUCCAGGUGUGCCUGUGUCCUUCGGUAAGGUGAAAUUGUUCUAGCUGUGGUCCACAAUCGCCGGAGCAGAAAACGAGUGGCGCGCGAUCGAUACUUCAGGCAAAGUCCACAGUAACAUGAUGCACUGUUUAGAACACCAUUGUGUGAAAGUGAUGUAGAGGAAGUGGGAAGUAAAUAGAUCAUAUUUUUCUAAAAUGUUACUCCUUUAAAUUGUACACGCUCUUAAAUAGACCUUACUUGCUUUGUGUAUGCUUCAUUUAAAUGUUUUUACUUGUAUCAUUUAUAAAUUGCCAAAAACAAAAUAAACUUUAAAAAUGUCAUUGUGCCGGUCAGGUGUGUAAUAGUAUGAAUGAUAUCUUUGAAGCGUAGAGCUGU
rnacentral:lncRNA from 1 species